rnacentral:rRNA from 1 species
AGCGAACGCUGGCGGCAGGCCUAACACAUGCAAGUCGAACGCACCUUCGGGUGAGUGGCGGACGGGUGAGUAACACGUGGGAACGUACCUUUAGGUUCGGAACAACUCAGGGAAACUUGAGCUAAUACCGAAUGUGCCCUUUUGGGGAAAGAUUUAUCGCCUUUAGAGCGGCCCGCGUUAGAUUAGCUAGUUGGUGAGGUAAAGGCCCACCAAGGCUACGAUCUAUAGCUGGUCUGAGAGGAUGAUCAGCCACAUUGGGACUGAGACACGGCCCAAACUCCUACGGGAGGCAGCAGUGGGGAAUAUUGGACAAUGGGCGCAAGCCUGAUCCAGCCAUGCCGCGUGAGUGAUGAAGGCCCUAGGGUUGUAAAGCUCUUUGUGCGGGAAGAUAAUGACGGUACGCAAGAAUAAG